AACGAACGCUGGCGGCAGGCCUAACACAUGCAAGUCGAGCGCGCCCUUCGGGGUGAGCGGCGGACGGGUGAGUAACGCGUGGGAACGUGCCCUUUUCUACGGAAUAGCCUCGGGAAACUGAGAGUAAUACCGUAUACGCCCUUUGGGGGAAAGAUUUAUCGGAAAAGGAUCGGCCCGCGUUGGAUUAGGUAGUUGGUGGGGUAAUGGCCUACCAAGCCGACGAUCCAUAGCUGGUUUGAGAGGAUGAUCAGCCACACUGGGACUGAGACACGGCCCAGACUCCUACGGGAGGCAGCAGUGGGGAAUCUUAGACAAUGGGGGCAACCCUGAUCGAGCCAUGCCGCGUGAGUGAUGAAGGCCUUAGGGUUGUAAAGCUCUUUCAGCUGGGAAGAUAAUGACGGUACCGGCAGAAGAAGCCCCGGCUAACUCCGUG
rnacentral:rRNA from 1 species